AACACAGUAAAAGAAAGAAGUAAAUCAAAUGACAAUAAUCUCUUUGUUUCUCGUCAACACUGUACUCUCCAUCUCCUUUCUCAUUCAAUCUUCAAAUAUUCCAAGAAAACUCCAGACACCACAAUACUUAACAAUAACAAUCAAACGCAAUUGAGUAGAAAUAUUAUCGGUGGCGGAUUUGCUCCAGGUGGUAGCGCAAAUGGAUGCGGUUUGGAGAGGCGGCGCGGCAGCGGCUGGUCUGUUGCGUGGCUGGCCGUCGGAAUAACGAGGGGUGGCCGGUGGUGCCGUUGCGAAUUGAGCGGAGGAAACGGAAGGGUUGCACGCGUGUUGCUCUCGCGGAUUCGGCGGGGUUGUGCUUGGCGCAAGUAG